rnacentral:lncRNA from 1 species
GGAAGACAAAAAUUGCUAGAAUUCAGCAAAGGGGUGCCCCGGUUCUUUGAUACUAAAGUGAUAGUAGAAUUGACUUUGGUAGAAAGAGAGGUACAAUCACCACACAUUGUCGGAAGUGGUGUAAAUACUUUUAAAAAGAUGUCUAUUGUAGGCAUCCCAAAUGAGAUUAGCCAUAUAAACAGUUACGGCUUUCAUUGGCUUCCCUGCUCGAGUAUAGGCAAAGAAAUCAC